rnacentral:snoRNA from 1 species
CGCAGCCGUGUCAAAUUCGGUGCCCACCUCGCAUGUGAGGCACCGGCCCAGGAGGCUGCCACAGGAACGCUGUGACUCAUGGGCCCUGCUCCCCUUGCCUGGGCGCAGGGAUAAAUUUGGUCACAGACACUG